UAUAUAUAUAUAUAUAUAUAAAGAAUUAGGCUGUAAUACUAUUAGUAGUAAAACGCUCUUUUUGCUAUCAAGUUUUUAACCCUUGGAUGAAAAAUUGUAAGAUUAGGAUGAUAUUAGUCAGUUAGAGUUGAGUAGUCCCCCUAGGGUUGAGUGCUCUCCACUAGGUUAUAGUAUUUAAUCCAAUGAUUAGAAAUGAUGAAAAGAGUUGAUCCAAAAGCUAAAAAACUGAUAGCAAUAAUGAAAUUUUGCUACUAAUAGUAGCCCAGUCCAACUCUAUAUAUAAAACUCUAUAAUAAUCACCAAAAUGACUUGCUAUUUGUUAUACAUGGUUGGUACUCAUAUUUAGGGCUUGUUUGGUUCAUGAUUGAAAUAGGAAUGGGAAAUGGAAUGAUGAAUCGUCCAAAAAUGCUUGGUUCAUUAUUGGAAUGGAAAUCGGAAUGAAAAUUUAAAAUUUUUUAGAGAGGGUUUUGAUUAAGAGAGAGGAAAGUGAUGAAGGAUGAGGAGGUAGGUGUUGAUAAAAGAGGAUUUUGAAUAAUUUACUUUGGAAUGAACCAAUCCGGGAUUCAAAGCCGGAUUGGAUUAUAAAUGGAUUUGGCCAUCCCCAUUCCGGAGUGGAAUGGAAAUCGGAAUCCGAUUUCUAUAAAACAAACGGCAACAAUCGGAAUCAAUGAAUUCCAUUCCGAUUCCAUAGUCUAAAAUAGGUGAACCAAACAUGCCUUGUUUCUUUUUUUCAUGGUAAGAGACGGUAUUAGU
rnacentral:lncRNA from 1 species